rnacentral:rRNA from 1 species
UACCAGCACCCCGAGUGGUCGGGACGAUUAUUGGGCCUAAAGCAUCCGUAGCCGGUUUUACAAGUCCUCCGUUAAAUCCAGCUGCUUAACAGAUGGGCUGCGGAGGAUACUAUAAGACUAGGAGGCAGGAGAGGCAAGCGGUACUCAGUGGGUAGGGGUAAAAUCCGUUGAUCCAUUGAAGACCACCAGUGGCGAAGGCGGCUUGCCAGAAUGCGCUCGACGGUGAGGGAGUGAAAGCUGGGGGAGCAAACCGG